rnacentral:rRNA from 1 species
GACCUGGUGGCUAUAGCGGGGGGGCCACACCCGAUCCCAUUCCGAACUCGGCCGUGAAGACCCCUAGCGCCGAUGGUACUGUGUCUCAAGGCACGGGAGAGUAGGUCGUUGCCAGGUC